CCUACGGGUGGCUGCAGUGAGGAAUAUUGGUCAAUGGGCGGAAGCCUGAACCAGCCAAGUAGCGUGCAGGAUGACGGCCCUACGGGUUGUAAACUGCUUUUAUACGGGAAUAACGCGCCUUACGUGUAGCGCUUUGCGUGUACCCUAUGAAUAAGGACCGGCUAAUUCCGUGCCAGCAGCCGCGGUAAUGCGGAAGGUCCGGGCGUUAUCCGGAUUUAUUGGGUUUAAAGGGAGCGUAGGCCGCAAGUCAAGCGUGCUGUGAAAUGUCCGGGCUCAACCCGGGCCGUGCAGGGGAAACUGGCGGGCUUGAGUGAGCGGAAAGUAGGCGGAAUGCGUGGUGUAGCGGUGAAAUGCUUAGAUAUGACGAAGAACCCCGAUUGCGAAGGCAGCUUGCUGCAGCGGAACUGACGCUGAUGCUCGAAAGCGCGGGUAUCGAACAGGAUUAGAUACCCUAGUAGUC
rnacentral:rRNA from 1 species